ACUAUAGCUUCGCAGUGACAACCUUGAUCGAAUGUGUAGGAUAGGUGGGAGGUGAUGUCACAGAACGACCAAUCCUGAAAGACCACUCUUUCGUGUAAGGAUGCUUAACCGCCACACUGAAAAUCCGGGGGGGGGGGGGGGGGCAUGACACUGCGAGGUGGGUAGUUUAUCUGGGACGGAU
rnacentral:ncRNA from 1 species